rnacentral:rRNA from 1 species
CGGAAUACGUUCCCGGGCCUUGUAACACACCGCCCGUCACACACGAAAGUCCGCUGCCAACAAGGAAGGUGCCCGGUUUACCGGGCCCGAAGUUGUGGCUGAUGAUUGGGGUG